CAUUGAAUGAAUGGUAUGGCCAAGUGAGCUCGCUCCAUGGCGACUAUGAUUUACGAGCGAGAAAGACAGCUAUAAACAUAAGCAUAGUAAAAAAAGGUUAUAAUUUUCUGAAAUUAUUAAAAAUAUUGUAGUUUUUAGCUUUUUCUUCCUUCCGGACAGGAAGAGUUUUGUAAACUCCGCCGCAACCUCCAUUCAAAACGAUCGGUGAUCCACAGAACAUUCAGUAAUCAAGCUUUUUUUUAAAAAAAAAUACAGCAGAGUUUAAUAGCUAAUAAAAAACUUCCCUUUUGCACCGCUAGGUAAGCAUUCUUUAUCUUUAUGGUAGAUUUACGAGCUUUUAGCUUCGUUAGGAACAGUAACAUAAACAACUUGAGAAGCGGGGGGAAAAAACAUCGCUUUAAAGAAAAAUCUAGAAACCAGCUUGUUUGUUCGGCGAAGCACGGAAAUUUGAAUUGCUUAUGUCACUAAACUAAUAAUAUUGGACUUAAAGUUUUUCUGGAUUUCUUUAAGACAGUUUCUAUGAAUCAAAGCUGUUAAAAUCAAUUUUCUAUGAAAAAUCAAUUUUAUCAUAUUUUUGAGCCUCUCUCUGACUGCUCUCUUUAUUCCAAGAAGCUUCAUCCCCGUCUGAACGGUUGUGAGUUCUCCUGUGGCUUCAGCUUCACGUAAGGUUUUUGAUUAAGAAAUUGCUCGACGUCUUUUGCAAAAGGUUUAGAAACUUUUGGUGAAAUUUUUCAGCUGAAAUCAUCCAAUGUCAAAUUAAAGCUCGACCAUGAGAAGACAACACUUUGGAAAAGUACUAAACAGCAGACAUAACAUCAGCACAAAGCAAGUUUUCCUUUGGAUAGCCUCCAACUUGGUUUAUCAAGUCUUUAUAUACAUCAUUUAAGUCUUCAUAGUUUGGCUUGCAGAACUUGCAUAUGCUGGUCGUAUUUGCAGAUGACGUGUUUGCUGCUGGAUUUACUGGAAUCUGUGGAAUGAGAUCAAAUAAAAUUUUAAAAUCCAUUUGUCUAUAAAUUUGAAGUUAUAUUUCAAAGCCAACAAUGAGGACUGGACGGGAUUUCAAGUCCAAGCAAUUAGUUCUAGUCCGAGGUGCAAUUCUGUGUAGUUCUAGUCCAAGGCGCAAUCGGACUUGAAAUUCUGUCCAGUCCGAUAUUGGAGGCUUUGAAAUAACUUCUCAUGCUCAUUAAUUAUUCGACUUGAAGUAACUGAAACAAAAUUAAUUCAGUCCUAGGACUGAAUUAAUUUUGUUCCAGUUACUGAAUGCAUUCCUUUCGCAUGAUUUUACCAGAUUUCAAGUAACAUGUGACCCAAAAAUAGCCCAUUGAUUGGUUGGUUGCCUCAUGAAUUAUUAAUGAGUAUGAGAAGCUAAAUGUCUGUUGCAAAACUUACCGUUGUAAAAUUUUUGAAGCAAUCAUACAAUAUUUGUUGCUUAUUAAAGAAGUCCUUCACUUUUG